rnacentral:rRNA from 1 species
UAGGGAAUCUUCGGCAAUGGGGGGAACCCCGACCGAGCAACGCCGCGUGAGUGAAGAAGGUUUUCGGAUCGUAAAGCUCUGUUGUUAAGGAAGAACGAGUGUGAGAAUGGAAAGUUCAUGCUGUGACGGUACUUAACCAGAAAGGGACGGCUAACUACGUGCCAGCAGCCGCGGUAAUACGUAGGUCCCGAGCGUUGUCCGGAUUUAUUGGGCGUAAAGCGAGCGCAGGCGGUUAGAAAAGUCUGAAGUGAAAGGCAGUGGCUCAACCAUUGUAGGCUUUGGAAACUGUUUAACUUGAGUGCAGAAGGGGAGAGUGGAAUUCCAUGUGUAGCGGUGAAAUGCGUAGAUAUAUGGAGGAACACCGGUGGCGAAAGCGGCUCUCUGGUCUGUAACUGACGCUGAGGCUCGAAAGCGUGGGGAGCGAACAGG